rnacentral:tRNA from 1 species
UUAAUUGAAACCAAAUUAGAGGUAAAUUAUUGUUAAUAAUUAAAUUGAAAUAUAAUUUCCAAUUAAA